rnacentral:tRNA from 1 species
GUCUGGGUGGCUCAUUCGGUUAAGUGUCUGACUUCAGCUCAGGUCAUGAGCUCACGAUUGUGAGUUCGAGUCCCACUUUGGAUU